GCUCCUGCUGCUCUUGCUUCAGGCUACCCGCCCUGCGCAGGCUGCAACAAAUAGUUCAGUCCAAGAUGUCUGUGCCACUUGCCAUGCUAACGCCACAUGUCAGCAAAAAGAAGGCAAAAACAUCUGCAUCUGUAACUAUGGAUUUGUGGGUAAUGGGAGGACUCACUGUCAAGAUAAAGAUGAAUGCCAGAUUGGAGCGAGCAAGAUCUGUGGCGAGCAUACGUCAUGUCACAAUACACAUGGAAGUUUUUACUGCAUUUGUCUUGAAGGAUACCAUCCCUCUAACAACAACAAGACAUUUAUUCCCAAUGAUGGCACGUAUUGUACAGAUAUAGAUGAAUGCCAGCUCUCAGGUCUGUGUGGUGUCGGGGGACGAUGUGUGAACACUGUUG
rnacentral:lncRNA from 1 species